UACGUAGGCAGCAAGCGUUGUUCGGAAUUACUGGGCGUAAAGAGUGCGUAGGUGGUUGGCUAAGUUUGGUGUGAAAUCUCCCGGCUCAACUGGGAGGGUGCGCCGAAAACUGGUCGACUAGAGUGUGGGAGAGGGAAGUGGAAUUCCUGGUGUAGCGGUGAAAUGCGUAGAUAUCAGGAGGAACACCUGCGGUGUAGACGGCUUCCUGGACCAUUACUGACACUGAGGCACGAAAGCGUGGGGAGCAAACAGG
rnacentral:rRNA from 2 species